rnacentral:rRNA from 1 species
GAUGAACGCUGGCGGCGUGCCUAAUACAUGCAAGUCGAGCGAACAGACGAGGAGCUUGCUCCUCUGACGUUAGCGGCGGACGGGUGAGUAACACGUGGAUAACCUACCUAUAAGACUGGGAUAACUUCGGGAAACCGGAGCUAAUACCGGAUAAUAUAUUGAACCGCAUGGUUCAAUAGUGAAAGACGGUUUUGCUGUCACUUAUAGAUGGAUCCGCGCCGCAUUAGCUAGUUGGUAAGGUAACGGCUUACCAAGGCGACGAUGCGUAGCCGACCUGAGAGGGUGAUCGGCCACACUGGAACUGAGACACGGUCCAGACUCCUACGGGAGGCAGCAGUAGGGAAUCUUCCGCAAUGGGCGAAAGCCUGGCGGAGCAACGCCGCGUGAGUGAUGAAGGUCUUCGGAUCGUAAAACUCUGUUAUUGGGAAAGAACAAAUGUGUAAGUAACUAUGCACGUCUUGACGGUACCUAAUCAGAAAGCCACGGCUAACUACGU